GCUUUGUUUCUGGGGAGGAGGACCCAGAGCUCUUUUGUUUGGGGGGUUUGGUGUUUUCUCCCCCCAACCUCACCCCGCCCCGCCCCACCCCACCCCCCAGCACCUCUCCGGUUUCCUGAGCUGCGGGCUGCAAGGGAGGAGCACGGCGUCCUGCAACCCCCUCGGCAGGGCCCCGGGGUAAUUCGAUGCGGGCCUGGCGAGGCUCCCCACGCUAGACCCGGGCUCGCGGCUCGGCUGCCUCCACCCACCGGCCCACCCUACAUUUAGCGCAUCAUGUGAUCCGGCUCCUCAGUAUGAAGAAAAUAUCUUCUGAAUAAGAAUAAGCAGGAUCAAUGUGACUCUAGAAACAAAUGGAUGAAUGAGUAUCCAUAUGAAGAGGAAAACAAUAAAGAAUAUCAACACCUCUGAAAACAGAAUGUUAAUGCUUGAUGGGAUGCCGGCAGUCAGAGUCAAAACAGAGCUUUUGGAAUCUGAACAAGGGUCUCCAAACGUCCACAACUACCCCGAUAUGGAAGCUGUUCCUCUGUUGUUAAAUAAUGUGAAAGGGGAGCCCCCGGAGGACUCGUUAUCUGUAGAUCACUUCCAAACACAAACUGAGCCAGUGGACUUGUCCAUCAACAAAGCCAGGACAUCCCCCACAGCCGUUUCAUCCUCCCCAGUUUCCAUGACAGCGUCUGCCUCCUCACCUUCUUCAACUUCAACCUCUUCAUCGUCUUCUAGUCGUCCAGCCUCCUCCCCAACUGUUAUAACAUCAGUAUCUUCAGCAUCAUCUUCGUCAACAGUAUUAACUCCAGGGCCCCUUGUUGCCUCGGCAUCUGGUGUAGGAGGCCAGCAGUUUUUGCACAUUAUCCAUCCUGUACCACCGUCAAGUCCCAUGAAUUUACAGUCUAACAAACUGAGUCAUGUUCACCGCAUCCCCGUGGUGGUACAGUCGGUGCCUGUUGUCUACACAGCCGUGCGAUCACCUGGAAAUGUGAACAACACUAUUGUAGUGCCGCUUUUGGAGGAUGGGAGAAGUCAUGGCAAAGCACAAAUGGACCCCCGAGGCCUAUCUCCCAGACAAAGUAAAAGUGACAGUGAUGAUGAUGACCUGCCAAAUGUGACCUUAGAUAGCGUUAAUGAAACUGGAUCUACGGCCCUUUCCAUAGCCAGAGCAGUUCAAGAGGUACAUCCGUCCCCGGUAUCAAGGGUGAGGGGAAGUCGAAUGAAUAAUCAGAAGUUUGCUUGUUCCAUUUCACCAUUUAGUAUUGAGAGCACAAGACGCCAGAGACGGUCUGAGUCCCCAGACUCCAGAAAACGGCGGAUUCACAGAUGUGAUUUUGAGGGAUGCAACAAAGUGUACACAAAAAGUUCUCACCUGAAGGCUCACCGGCGGACACACACAGGGGAGAAGCCCUACAAGUGCACCUGGGAAGGCUGCACCUGGAAGUUUGCUCGCUCGGAUGAACUGACCAGGCAUUACCGCAAACACACGGGAGUGAAGCCAUUCAAGUGCGCGGACUGCGAUCGCAGCUUUUCCCGGUCAGACCACUUGGCGCUGCACCGCCGCAGGCAUAUGCUGGUGUGAGGGAUGCCACCCGUCCAGCUGAGCGUAAGAGCUGGCUCUCUUAGCGGCACCCAGGGCUGACUCCUCCACAGUGUUAACACAAAAGGGCAUCACCAUCCCACGAUGUCUGAAACCAGAGCAGGAACAAGAAGGAACACUUCUCCUUUCGUCUGCAGGUAACCCCCAUCGCGACUCCACGAGACCCGUCUUCACGCUGGCCUGGGAGAUCGGUGACACGGAUGCGGGAGAGACGGGCAUUGUUUUCCGUGCUGUGCGCUCUGCCCCUGAACGAUGUUUGUAGCUUGUCCACUUUCUGAGCUGUCAGACAUUUUGUUAUUGAUACUGUAAAGGUCAUCUACCACAAAUGGAUGGCCUAGAGCGGAGACCUUUCGCAUUGGGGAUGAUUCUCCCAUCAUCCCGCCCCCUAACCUCUUUUUACAGGAAUUUCAGUUACCAUCUGAGUGAGAUAGAACCCCCGUCCAAUCUGUUACCAGCCAGCAGCACGGACGUAGGAAAGAAGGAGCUCUUGGAGAGGUUCCAUCCUCUGAAAAGAAAGGGGCACUCAGGCAGCCCUUUGCAAUAGCGAUGGCAGCAGCUAGAUAGCGCCCGCGACUUGUCAUUAUGCCAUGCCCUGAAGAAAACCAACAUUGAGUCUUUCAUGUGUUUGUUGUUGAUCGUUUUUGUUUUUUGUUUGGUUUUGUUUUGAUUCUGUUUUGUUCAUCUGUUCACGCAGAGGGGCGGCGACAUUUCAGUCGGAGUCUGGUCCCGGUGUCUGCCCUGGCAUGGACUGGCACAGGGCUGUUCUGUGGUUGAAUAGGAAGAGCCUGUCUAAAAAACUACUGCCCCACUUCAAAUUGCAGUGUUCUGUCACCCAGGCAUCAUCUCUUCCUGCCCCUAGGAUUUGAUUACAAGGAAUCAGGGGGGAGGGAAAAACUUUCUUAGACACACUGGCACCAAGGUGAGGAGAGGUGGGGCUGCCCAGGCAAAGUCAGUGAACAUGAAAAAUCAGACAAAGCAGAGAUGGAAAUAAUGCGCCUCCUGAGGAGAAAAGCAAUAACGAAUAAAAGGACUUUCCUACAAUAACUUCACUGAGGACUCACGUUACCAAUUUUCAUACUUACUAAAGGGAUUGUAAAAAACACCCCAGCAUUUUAGAGGUCUUGGUUACAUGUACAGCACUGAGGUAAUCUUUCUGCUGUUUGUUGUCCUGCGAGGUUGACUACCACAAUUAAAGAUUAUGCUCCCCUUCUCUUGUUUGAAAACGGUUAUUUGGUGACGAGGCCAGGGAGGCAUAGCAGGGAGUUAACUCUUGGGUUAAUGGGUCAGCUCCCCUUGGAACACAGUCAGCAGCAAGGGCGUGCUCCCCGAGGAAAGCCUGACAUGGUGCUCGUUUCCUCACUUGAAGCCAAGGCUACGCGACUCUCCAGUGGGUUCUUCUAUACAGACUUCGUUUCUUCUACACUGUGUCAGGACCCGGUGGUUCUGCAUUGGCACCUGCAGGGAUGUUGAACCCACUCAUCCUGUGCUGAGGGUGAGAGGAAAUUACAGUCCUGUCAACCCCCUAAAAUUAUGAGCCUUUUUGGCAUCUAGCAAAGUAUACAGUAAACAAAGCAAUACAUUAUCAACAAACAUUCUUUCAAAAAAAUUACCAUAUUUUUCCCCCCACUAAAAGCUGGGUUUUUUUCAGCUUUAUGUGGUUAAGGGGCUUGGUGAGGUUUUUAGUUAUUAUUGUUGUUAAGAUUUUUUAUAGCUUAGAUACAAAUGUUGCCAGCAUAUAGACUUUUGCAAUAUAUUUUCAUUAAAAACACUUGAUUUUUGGAAUUGCACAAAUUAACCUCACAAUAUUACUAGCUCAUUUUUAACUGUUUGAACAUUCUGAAAUAAUUUCCAGUUGCAGAAUUAUCCUAUUUUUAGGGUCGUCUUCUAAUUCAGUUAAUCUUAUUCUGAUGAAGCAAGGAUUAUAAACAUUGAAACAAAGACAAUUUGUGUUGGAUGGUAUUAAAAGGAAUUAUUUUUUAAUGUUCAAGCAACAGCAUAAUGAUUUUCAGGUCAAAUUCUGUCUUUAGAAAUAUGUGCUCUGCAUUUUCUGCCAGGUCUGAAAAAUUCAUCAGGCAAUUUCCCUCCAACAAGGGCUGCAAUUCUAUUGACAAAUAGCUUCUUUAGCUACACGAUCAGUACUACCCACCAAGCACUGGGAUUUUUUUUUUUUUUUUUACCAACUGGAAAAUUUUUUUAUCUGUACUGUAUGCAAUUGCUACUUCUCAUUGCCUGUGACCACCUGGAAUAGAGAAGGGUUGCUUGAGGCAUGCCAGCAUUGGUUAUUGGUCAGCAGCAAAGAGCACAGAGUGGGGAACCCUCUCAGCUAGUCCCAGAACCUAGUUGGCAGGUAGUAGGUGAAUCGCUCAGGUGACGUGUAGGCUGAAUUUCAUCCUAACUCCUCUCAUAAGAAGGGCCAAUCCUGCUCUCUGCUGAGAGAUGUCUUGAGGGUGUUACAGGUAGGAAUAGUUUUUAGAAUUCAUGAAACUGACAGGCAGUGGGAGCUUCCUGAGUGGCAGCUUGAUUUAAAUUUAGCCCAGAACUAAAUGAGCUGCUCCUCUAUAAUAACAUAGGAAAGACUCAGGAAAGUGCAUUUUUCUCCUCAUCCUCUGAAAGGGGGAACCAGACUGAGACAGUAAGAUAACUGAUAAAACCUGUCAGUGUUAACACCAUUCCCUCUUUGACGUGUCUAUACUUCUAAGGAGGAAUCCAAGCACAAGUAGUGAAUGAGUUGCUGUUCUCACCCCAGGACUCAAACUUACUUGAGUUUUCUACAAAUGUUCCCCCAUGGAAAGGAAAGUGGUUUGGGAGAGAAGGAAUUGGCUUUAUAAGUAGGAAUGUCUUUAGGCAAAGAAUAGCCCCCUCCACGUAGUUUUAUGUCCAUUCUAGCCUCAUUUAAAAGCACAGUAGAUAACGAAUAGAAUAAGUAGAAUCCAAAGGACCCAUCAGAUGUUCCCUCCCUAGAAGUGUUCUUUGGUCUGAAAUUUGAGGCUGGUCAGCCACUUUGCAGCUGGACAUGUGUGCAUGUUUGGGAACUUACACACGGGUGCCAGUGAUGGCUUGAGAAGCUACAGGAGACCGGGCUAUCUCUCUGCAUUGUGGAGACUGAGUUCAAGGGAGUUCACAUGAUUUGAAAAGCACUAAGGUUCAGGCUUUGAGGUUUAAAUAGAUUUCCUCUUCAUGUUCUGAUCUUAAGUUGUCAGAAAGAGAUUCACACUUCCCCAUCCUCCUCCGGCCCCAUCCUGUCAACUGUGUGCGGACUCGGAGAAGCCUGCUGGAUAACUUACAUUCUCUUACGGCAUUUAGACUGAAAUUCCUAAUGACUUGACCGUAAAGAUCAUACUACUGCCUGGCAUUACUUUUACAAAGCACUAUUGGACAUUUAUUUCCAAAAAGCAGUUGAGUAACAGUAACAUAAACCACAAUGGGGGAAAAGAGCACUUUUUUUUUUUUUUUCACUUUACAGUUUAAGUGGAAAAUAGGAAGAGGAUUGUUGGGGGAGGAAAGGAUCUUACAAAAAGCUACAGUGUUUACAAUGCCAGUUCUAGAUUAGAAAGGCCAUUCUCAUGAUGGUUGAAAUUUUGAAUAGCUCAUACAAAGCUGUGUUCAUUUUUAUACAACCUUUUAAAACUUCGAAUUGCCAUUUGUGUUUCAAACCUAAGUAUAAUUCUACAUUUAUGGAAUCAGUUCAUUAGAAUGACAACAUGUAUAUGGAUAAAGAUGCAGUAUUCCUAUUCUGUACUUUAUUUAUUAUACUUACCAAAGCAACAGUUGAAUAAAUCUGGUGAGGUGAGGCCUUCAAAUGUAUUAAUACGCCUUUGUUAUGCUGUUAUGACUGCUUAGAAAUGUGGCCAGAAUGUUGUUAUAAAGGUGUCUUAGCAUUGAUAGUAAGGGUUGACAGAAUUCAGCAGUGAUAAGAAUACCAGCAUGAAUGAUACAUUGAGUUAUGACUUUCAUAUAAGGGACUGGACAUGUCUUUUAUGCAUCAUAAUAGGCCCAGGAAGCCUUAAUGCUCAUAGUCCAUAAUCCAGUCUCAGAUUUUGGUCUUUACUAAUGCCUAUAGAUUUCAGGAGUAAAUGUAUUCUACAACUUCACUGACCAAAUCUCUUUGUUCAGUUAUUCUGAGGUAGUGUUAUCUCAUUUAAAAAACCUUUUGCUUUGAUUUAGUUUUGUUUAAAAAUGAGGUUUGGUAAGGUAUGUCUUCCAUAUUACAUUUCUACUUAUCCUCACACUGCCAUGUACUUACCUGCACAGGCACCACUGAUACAUGCAUACCUGUAUUCACACCUGUAUAUGCAGCAGCCAGUGGGCUCACAAAUAUCAACAGAAGACUUUUUUAAAAGAAUGAAUUUGUAAUAAUCCAUACUGUCUACAAAUGUAAGUUAUUUACCUUAAUGGGGAAUCCGCUUAUAAUGCUAUAUAUGACUUGGCCUGCAUUUUAUAGUUAAGAAGUGUACAUAAAAAUUUUAAAUGCUAUAUUUUCACAGGUUCAUUAUAGAGUAAUGUCUGUUUAGCAACUCAUGUCCAUUGGUACUUUAAGUGUGCUAAAUACUGUGCAAUUGCAAUAGAAAUUCAGAUUUUCAUAAGAAAAUGAAAUUGAGGAUACUGCAUCUUUAAAAAAUAGAGUGAAGAUAUUUUGCUGUAUUCGAAACAUAUGUGAUAGUGGAAAAAGUAUUUUCAAACACAAAUUUUACAGGGGUUGUAAAUAGUUUGAUGAAGUAUGUUGGGAAAAAGAGCUUCUAGUUUUCAUCACAAUAAAAAAAAAGAAAACUUGUUCAGAUAUGCCUUGUAUAUCUUACAUACGAUUAGCGAUAUUGCCAUGGGAACUCUGUUCCACAUUCUCACAGCACAUCCCUUGUGCUCUGACAAAUGGAGUGGCCACUUGUCUCAAUUCAGCCAGGGUUGUUUAAAACACAUUGAAAUCAUUUUAAGUUGCAGACAACUGAUUCCAAACUCUAAAUGUCUUUACCUGAAAAGGGGGAAACAGUUGCACAGCUUUUUGCUUCUGCUAAAGAGAAGCAUCUAGCCAUUGUUCUCUUUUCUCUGUUAUCUUCCUCCUCAACCAAGUAGUUCUUGAUAAAAAUGAAAACUAUACAGGUGUUGGUGUUUAUGCUUGUUUAAUUACUGAGGGUAUAUUUUUUAGGAGUAGCUACAUCUUGACAAGAUUAAGUGUUAUGGAUUCGGCCACAUGUUAAAUGAAUCUAUACUGGCAAUAGAAAUAAGCUAAUACCCAUUUUCCGAAGUGAUUAAAAGCUGAAAGUGCCUGUCAAUAAACAUUAUGACUAAUGAGAUAUUCCUAUACUUUUACACAGCAAUAAUUCUUCUUCAGACUGGGUUUUUCCUCUACAUUUGGGAAAUGCAUGCAUAUAUGCACACAGUAAUUUGGAUCUGUUCACACACCCACAAAAAAAUUCUCUUGUGUCUUCUUAUAUAUACCCAAUCUUGUUUAUGUUGGCAUUUCUUAAAUCAGUCUUACAGAACGUCAGAAUGCAAACCUGAAUAUUAAAGCUAUCUUCAACAUACACUAUGGCAUAUGGCAGUUACAAUUUUAAGAUAAAAACUUCACUAUGAUUUGCCCCAAAUUUAGGAAGCACUGAGCGUGCCUCAAAAAGUUUUGUUUAUUUAACAGAAGCCAAUUUGUUUAGAGCAAAACAUUAGAGAUAUUUGUUUGCCUUACUUUAUCUACUAAUAUCAAAUGCACAAAUCCAUCUUUGUUUCCCUUUUCCCUGAUAUUUUCUGUUCUCAUCGAAGAACCAUUUUUGGAAUGAAUAUUGACACAAUUAUCUAUCUCCUAAAAUGUCUACUGAGAUAUAACUGACAUCAACUAAGCCAAGGUUUGCAGUUCGUCCUGGAAAUUUCCAGAUUUACGUUUAGAACCUCACAACAUUGAGCUAUCGUUAUUUAACUGCUAAAAGUGGAGUUAUGAAUAGAAACAUACAAUGAAAUUAUAUGGGUAGACAAGAGCCCUGGAAAUUCUCCAGCCCUGCCAUCUCAGCAUAAAUCCACCCAAACAAGCUAUUGAGGGCUAUCGGUAAAAUUAUACUCUUUUAGAGCCAAACAUUUGGUAAGAGCAAUUUAAAAGCAUGACGGUAAUUAAACACUCAGGCUGUAGACAGUGAAAAUGACCCGGAUGCCCGGUGUUCUCCAGAACCAGACCCUAGGCCUAGAAAGCCCUCUACCACUUCCUCCUCCAAGUUUCAGAAAGAAAGAAAUGAGCCCGGAGAAGGUGGAAAAUCAAUUAAUUGUCAAAGGAAAGCCUUAACCUUACUGAAAUCAAGUCUUCUGACUGGGCUGCUUUCUGGAAGUUGUCUGAAAGUACUAUCAGAACAUGAAAGGUCAAAAGGUCAGCAAGCUAUGAAACAACGACUAUUCUUUAUUAAACACUUACAUGUGCCAAGCCCUGUACUAGCUAAUUUUUUAAGACACAUUACCUCUCAUCUGUACAACAAUUUCAGAUUUUAUGGAUGGUAAACGAGGCACUGAGAGAGGCUGUGUGGUCCUCAAACACAGAAAUCAUAAAUGGCAAAGUGGGGAUGCGAAGCGACCUGCCUCUGGCUCUGAAGGCCGUAUUCUUUCCACCACAGCACCUAGCACCUGUGUACCCAGCAGCCAACUUUCCAUAUCUAACUCUUAAGUAGCUUUUGUUAUGAAUGCAUAGUUAUCAUAUUUUCCAAGUAAGAUACAGGGACAUGCUAUAGCACAUGACAGUGGAACAGAAUAUUUGAAAUCUGUCUUCUAGUAUAUGCAGAUUGCAAUAACCAGACGUCUCCCUGAAUUUGUCAGUACCCUCAUAUCACCAUCCUCCUAAAUGUUUGGCCUAAAGAUCCAAAAUCAUCAAAACUCUCCCCUACUUUGUAGCAUUUUAGCCAGAGUGGGGUUUGUUUAUUUUUUUUUACCAUUCUGUGCAUUUCUUUAGAUGUACUAAAAGCCUUUACACCUCUACAGCCCUGCCAGAGAGAGGCUGCUUAAGGGGCAUUGGGAAUGUUGACCUCCAUGGAACUAGUUGUUAAUAACAGCCCAUUCCUAGUAGCUGUUAAUAAGGUGGCAAUCAUAAACAUUCGGGCGAUGAGCAAGGAGAGAUGCAGAUCAUUCCUUUUCAGAAUUCUCACCUAACAGCACCACCUGGGAAUGUUUUAAAUAAUCUUAGAAAUAAUUUGUUUAUCGUAUUGUUAGUUUAAUUGAAUUUUUUGUGAGAAGCUAUCCAACAUUAGAGAAAUGAAAUCCCCUCCUCCUUUUCUGUGUAUCACAAGGUCUCUGACAGUAUUGAUUCAUAGAAGUACUAAUGGACUUAGAAAACAUUAAGAGAAUGUCAUUUCUCAUGGUGUUUCUUUUUCUGAAAAUGAAUCUCCUGAAUUAUGAUCUUUCUCCCUGUUACUUGGCUGAGAGAAGAGAUCAACCUGCAUAAACAAAUUCCCUCCUGUGCAGAAAGUCAGUGUUUGGUGUGCACACCCCACUCGGAGGGGGGCUCUCUUCCCAGAUAAUUGGGUUCCACAAGCAAUAAUUUCUCAACAACAAAACCACACCUUUCAGUGAGUCAAAAAGAGAUGAAUGGUGGAAAUAGUACUUUUUUCAUUCUAGACUUCAUCUCUAGACAUUUAAAAUCCUUCAGACAAGGGAGUCUGCUCUUUGUGUAAAGCAAGAGCCAAUGACUCUUUGUGUGAAUUAUUAUAUCUUGCUUUUUCCAAAGCAAGCUUACCAAGACUUUUAUGGAGAUUGAUUUUUUGGUUGAGAAAUGAGGGUGAAUGGAAGAGUAGCAUUUGGGUCAAACUCUACUACUAAAAGUGUCCAAGUAAUCAAAAAGUAAGAUACUUUGAGGACAUAUCAAUGUCUUUCCUUUCCGCUAAUUUCAUGCUCCAAAGAUGCUGCAUAAAACAUUAUAGAAAAUGCUUUUGCCCUACUUGUGCUUCUAGUUUUCCCAUAGCAGAAUUUUGUAAUUACAUCCAGACUGUAGUAUCUAUUUUGUUCCUCAAACUUUAUUACAUUGGAUGGGUAUUGUUGAACUGGGGCACUGGUGCCUAUAUUCAAGGCUCUUUCCUAUCAACUUGUCUGUCCACAAUUUGUUCUGUUUGAAAGCUCAUUUUUAAAAAUCACCAUCCCCCCACAACACGGAACGGUGGCUGUAUUGUUUUGUUCAUGUCUGUGAAACACAUUGCAUCACAUGGCAAACCAACUCUGUGUGGAACUGAGAUAACUACUUACAAAACCAGCUUGAAAACAUCGUCUUAUGUAUGAUGUCAUCCUGCAUCAUAAUGCAAUUAUGUGUAUCAUAACAUGUUCAUUUACAAAAAAAGAGAAACCAGCAAAUUCACGUUUGUCCAUAGAAGAAUGUACUCAGAACGUUGUGUGUUGUGAAACGAUGAGAACAGACCACCUUUAAGAUACCCACCUGCCACUUAAAAUGACUUAGUUAUAAUUAGUAGUAGUCUAGACAUUGCUUUUGGUGUGUGGGGGGGUGGGGGGAGUCAUAUUCUUUUGAAUAAAUCUCUCAGUCAUCUUUGAAAAAAAGAAAUACGUGGGAUUAAAGAAAAAUAUCAUCUUUGGCCAAAUCAAGCAGGCAUCUUUUUCCUUUUCCUUAACACUGAGCUCAUUAUACAUGGUGAUUGGAUUACAGGACCUAUCUGUGUAAAAAUACAAAAACAUCCUUUAGGCUACAAAGCAGUUAUUCUAGGCUUGAAACCCCUGAACAGCAAAUUGAAUAGAUGUGCUGCAUCUGAUUCACGUGUCGGAUGUAAUUUUACAAAAGCCUCUUGGGUCUCUAACCCCAGUGAGUUCGAGUGCCCAGAGUAGGUCAUACCCACUAGAGGACAACCCCCCAACCCCCUCAAUGAUGCUGGCAAGCAAGUGUGUUCAUUUCCAAAUCUUCAUUUGGUUUUCUGUUCAGAGUUUUAAUUACAAAUGAAUUUAUUUCUCCAGCUUAUCUACAGAUCUAAUUUCCCAAUAGUUUUCUCUGCAUUUAUAUACUCUGUAGUGUUUAGCCAGACUCUGUUAUAAGUUUAUUAAUAUUAUGUGAGUGUUGUUCUUGUAUUUAUGUAUAGUGUAUGUAUUGUAAAUAUACUCAGAGCUUUUUUCCUUUUACUGUAAAAUGGUGAUUUUUCUUUUGGGCCCUAUGAUAAUGUAAAGGGAGACCCUCCUAAUGAGAUUCUCUCAGAGGAUGAUUAUUCCAGUCUAUUCUCAGAGAUUUAAAUGAACAAGUGUUAUCGUUUUUAAUGGUGUCUCAGACAUAUUCUGUUGGUGCAUUGCUUUUCUGUAUUCAACUUUCCUAUGAAUUGAGCUGUGAACUGAAAUAGAGUUUAAACCUUUAACUGUAUGCAUUUGUAUAAUUAUCUGAAUGAAGGCAUGAAGGUUAAAUAAAGCAUUUUGUAUGGAA